AGGUCGUGACGUCAUCUGUCAACACGGGAGCCUACCAGCACCAUCCCAGGGCGGCCCAGCGAGUGUCUCUUCCCGUUACUGUCUCCCCCUGAGCCUCGCCGAAGGGUGCCGCCCCAGCAUGACGGUGGCACAGUUCUUCGGCUGCGGCCUCAUCGCCUUCGGGCCGCCCCUCGCCAUGUUCGCCCUGACCAUCGCCAAAGACCCCAUCAGGACCAUUAUGCUUGUGGCCAGUGCAUUCUUCUGGCUGCUGGCGCUGCUGUUCUCCUCCAUCCUGUACACGGCCGUCGUGCAGCUGCAGGACAAACUCGCCUUUGGACUGGUCUUCUCAGUCCUGUUCCAGGAGCUGUUCAGGUUCCUCUGGUUCUUGCUCAUCCAGAAGGCUGAGGGUGGACUGAAGAAGGUCAGCGAUGGGAACGUUCAGAUUGUGGAGAACAAGAACAUUCUAGCAUACGUGUCUGGCCUGGGGUUCGGCAUCAUCUCUGGCGCCUUCUCCCUCGUCAACGUGCUGGCUGACAUGACGGGGCCUGGGACCAUUGGGCUGUACGGCGACCCCCACAACUUCUUCGUGGCUUCGGCCGUCAUCAGCCUGGCCUUCAUCCUGCUGCACGUGUUCUGGGGCAUCCUCUUCUUCAAUGCCCUCCACCGCCGGGCCUACCUACAGCUGGCCUAUGUCAUCCUGUGUCACCUCUUGGCCUCCUGCAUUACCCUCCUGAACCCCUGGUACUCCGUGACCAUCCCGACGGUGUGGAUCCUGACGGUGUUGUCCGGGCUGCUGGCCUUCAUCGUGGCCGGGGGUUCCCACCGGACCAUCCGUGCCGCCCUCAGGAGGUCCACCGCCACCACCGCCUCCACCCGGGUCCUGCAAGUCAGCGUGAACGAGGGAGCCGAGAACUCCUCUAACGCAGCACUUCUCUCUGCUGUGUGUUCAUGAAGAUUGGUGAUGCUGCUUCUCAUGUUGAGAUAUUUGGUAAAGAUUAUAAGACACAGCAUUAUGACCGUCACUCCCACCGACAUCCAUCUAGUGCCCUCAAUGAAGGUUUAUCUUGAUCAUUUGACAUUCCACCCAGCAUCUGGCGAGUAGAAGGCCUCUUGGUCCUUAACCCCGUGACUGCGAAUUUCCUACAAGAAGACAUCACCAAGGCUGCUUCAAUUCAAUGAGGAAAAAUGUAAAGUCAUGCACCUUGGGAGGGGAUAUCCAGCACCCCAAUACCACAUGGGAAACACUCCACUAUCCACCACAGAGGCACAAUAAGACCUGGAACUAUAUAUUACCAGGCUACCAGUAAAGGUGAAAUCCGUGCCAAUCACAGCAGACGGGUUAACAAAGGCUGUCUGCUGUGUUAUGGACUUGGUAGCAUGAUACUGAAAUAACAGCUUAAAUAAUAAUCACAAAGGUAUCAUGCAAGGGGAAGGGAUGGUGGGCAUGAAAAUACUGAUUCCACACUAGAUUAAUGUGAAUGUUAGGAUGGUAAGUGUUGCUGAUAGAUUAAUUUUUUAUAUGUCUUUCGCUCUCUGCUUUGACACCACUUAUAUGGAUGCAUUUUCAAGGUAUAUUUUCCAUCACGUUAAUAUUAUCUACUUGCGAUUUUUCUUAGUGCAAAAGGUCUUGAGUGUAUUCUAUAGUGACUUGAUUUUCAAUGUAUGUAAGUCCUUUGAGCAGUCGUUGCAUUCUAGGGUUGUAUGUUAGUGAAGUUUUUGAGGGAUUUAUGAAUGACAGGUCAUGAAAACUAGCCAAGAGCUGCUUUUUCUCUUUUUAAUUUUCUUUUCUUUUUCUAUUUCUUUUUCUUCUAUUCUUCUUGUCCAUUUUCUUCUUUCUUUUUCUCUAUUUUUUUUCUAUUUCUUUUUCUUCUCUCUUUUCUUAUCCUUUUCCUUCUUUUUCUUUUCUUCUCCUUCUUCGCUCUUCUUUUUUCUUUUUCAUCUUCUACUUCUACUUCUACUGACUGCUUCAUAUAUUUACAUUAUCAUCACCACCAUUGCUCCUCGAUGCCUGGCUGUUCCCUGCAUCCUCACAAGUAGUACGCAGGAGUCAGCUUGCACAUGAAUGACACCGAGUAUACAUAAUAGUAUACACAAUAUCUACAGGGUAUAACUGUUAACUGCUGAUGGUUUUGCCGAAUACUAACACUUGUAUCAUCUGUAUGUUUUGUAUUCAUAAGAUUCUUUCUCAAACAAGAUUAAUUGGGAGGAUCAAGGACAGUUCUUUUGUCUGGAUUGAAUUGAUGACUUUCGGUUACUUAAGACAGAAGUACAGACAGACUGUUUGUGCGGAUAAUGACUUAUAGAAUACUUGAAAUCGUAACGCGUAUGAUGCAAGGAAAAGUAUCAGGACUCAGCAGAGGUAGUGUUUAUUUCCCAUUUGCCGAGUGUAGGCAUUUUGGGUUGCUUAUUUAUAUACAUUUUACUAACAGACCGUGUGCAGACUGAACAUGACAAGUCUAACAUUGGUGUGCUGUAGGGCAACAUUAACCAAAGAUUGUAUCUCUAGCUUAUUGAUAAAGGUGACUAUACAGUGCCAUAAGAGUGAAGGCUAUGCUUCUUCAUGUUUCAUUUGGAUGUCUUGUGUUGGCUAUGCAUGAAGCAGGGGUGUAAUUUUUCUAGUUUUUCAUUGGAUUUCUUUUUUCACGUCAUUUUAGGCAACCCACGCAUAUGUUGAGACGAAAAGGGGACAGGGUGUGACCAUGACGAGAGGGAGGUUUGACAGGCCUAUGUGGUACUUGAUUACCCAUUGAUAUAUAUUUCUAAUUUAAUUUAGUGGAGUGUUCACAAGUAAACCAAAAUAUAAUGAAAUCAUUUCUUUAUUUUUAUGGGUUAAUUAUUGUUACAUUCUGUUUUGUAUGUUAUUUUUUUUACCAUAUUUGUAAUUUUCUGGUAAUGCAUUGCACCUGGUAGUUAUUGUCCUAAACAAAAAACAUGUAGGUGCCAAAAAACUAUGACACCAGAAACCAUUACCUACUGGUUUAAAAUACCAAAAGACCUUUAUAUUUGGCUACAAGACUUCCCACCCAGUUUUGUGAUGCAAGGUGGAAACAAGCGUUCACUUAUGGUAUGAAAUAAUAACGGAAUGGUCUUUCAACACCUUCAUUGAGUGUCAUGACCUCUGCUCACUAGAUGGCAGCAGCCUUGUUGUGGCCGCCUUGACCUGCCCAGACAGUGCUCCUCGUGACUUUCAACAUGAACUUAGACAAGGAUGAAGAAGAACUAAAUAUGCUUUAUCAUCAACAUGUAAUUUAUUGGUGAUUACAAAAACAGAUAAUGACAGUUGCCAACAUGAUUCCUGCUGUCACAAUACACAGGUCAGAGGUUGAGGAACAAAACUUGCCAUACAGAAUAUUUUUGAAGGAUGCUGGACGGCAGCACAUGUAGCGUAGUGACCACUGGCUCAAAAAAUAAUGUAGCUUUCAUAACCCUGAGACCGUCACAGUCAGUUGUGUAUAUUUCUCAAACUGACGGACAUCAUGUGGGUGAAAACAUUUUUAUAAUCAAAUGUAUCUGAAUUGUACUUAAUGAAAAGUUUCUACUCAAAAUGCAUACCUCAAUGAUUUGAUAUAUGCCUCUUAGGUAUAUUACUUUAUAGUUUUGCAUUAGCUUAAUAAAAUAUCAAUGCUGAUGGCAAGGUUCCAAUUGUAUUAGUAUAUAUUUUCAUAUAGCGGCAGUUCUGUAAGUAAGCUUAACCUGGUAGCUGCGAGGAUCAUAUUUCUUAACCUAACCUAACCUAACCUAACCUAAGCAAAUUAAUGAGAAAAAAUCAUCACUCACGCAAACCAUUUCAUAAUAUAUAUCAAUGCAUUUGUGAUCAGUUUAUGCAUCAUAUAUUUUUGGGGGUUUAUAUCAUGGCAAAAAUUUGGCCCGUCGCUGCUACUGGGUUAAAAACUGCUAAGUGUACUGUUGAUAUUUGUCUUUGUAUGGUUGGGAAAACUUCAGUAUGCAGGUGAAUAUAUGAACAUGUAUAUUUUGCUAGCUUAUUGUAAUGAUGGAUGCAUAGUUUCCAUUUUGUUAAGCAAGGUUGUGACAUCAUAACUUAAUGCUGUUGGAGAGUGACAAGAAUUGAUAUGGUUUGACAUAAUUGAUCUGUUAAUCAUA